CAGCUGUUCUUGGGAGCAGUUCUCAGGUGUUUGAAGUUGAGGCCAUUUGGGGUGGGUUUUUGAGUUGGAGGAAGUAGGCCGUAUUUCUUAAAACCAGAUUCCUCUCAGGGAAUCUUCUCCAGAGGAAGAGAACCCAUUACCCUGGGACUGGAAAGCUGAGCUUCCUUUCCCUAAUUGAGCAGGGAGCAUGCCGAGGCCUUCCCCUGAAGCCCACUUUGCUAGAAGAAGGAGGUCUCCAUGUUCUGGAGGGUGGUUUUGGGCCUGGAGUAAAGCAUUGAACAAGCUCAUCCGGGGAAGCCAACAGCAGGCUGAAUCAGCAGUAGUUUUUUCCAGAACUCUCAGCCCACAGACCAUAAGGUGGUUGAACAACUGGUCAGAAGGAGAUUACAGGAGACCCUUUGCUGGCACUGAAUACAGGACCCUGUUGCAUUGCCCAUACAUAGUUUCAGAUCAUGGUGUCAGGGUAUAGAGGAACACUAGCACACUAGUGCCUGUGUUGCAAGGGAUUAGGGUUGUAUAGUCACAGUUCCAUGACAAAAUGUUUACAGUUGUUCCCAAAAGAGCAGGGGCCUCGGUCUCAGGUGCAAAGCAUAAAAACUUUUUAUGGCAAGUUCUUUGAUAAAGGCCUCAUUUUUCCAAUAUAUAGAGAACUGGGUCAAAUUUAUAAGAAUAUGAAUCAUUCUCCAAAUGAUAAAUGGUCAAAGGAUAGAAACGAGAAGUUUUCAGAAGAAUUCAAAGCUAUCUAUAGUCACAUAAAAAUGCUCCAAAUCACUAUGGACUAGGGAAAUGCAAAAUAACCAAUUACACCUAUCAGAUUGGUUAAUA
rnacentral:lncRNA from 1 species